rnacentral:misc_RNA from 1 species
UCUCCAUUGGCUAGAGUCAGA